CUGCGAAUGGCUCAUUAUAUAAGUUAUCGUUUAUUUGAUAGUACCUUACUACUUGGAUAACCGUGGUAAUUCUAGAGCUAAUACAUGCUAAAAAUCCCGACUCCGGAAGGGAUGUGUUUAUUAGAUUAAAAGCCAAUGCCCCCCGGGGCUCCCUGGUGAUUCAUGAUAACCCCUCGAAUCGCACGGCCUUGCGCCGGCGAUGGUUCAUUCAAAUUUCUUCCCUAUCAACUUUCGAUGUUUGGGUAUUGGCCAAACAUGGUUGCAACGGGUAACGGAGGGUUAGGGCUCGACCCCGGAGAAGGAGCCUGAGAAACGGCUACUACAUCCAAGGAAGGCAGCAGGCGCGCAAAUUACCCAAUCCCGAUCCGGGGAGGUAGUGACAAUAAAUACUGAUACAGGGCUCUUUCGGGUCUUGUAAUUGGAAUGAGUACAAUUUAAAUCCCUUAACGAGGAACAAUUGGAGGGCAAGUCUGGUGCCAGCAGCCGCGGUAAUUCCAGCUCCAAUAGCGUAUAUUAAAGUUGUUGUGGUUAAAAAGCUCGUAGUUGAACCUUGGGCCUGGCUGGCCGGUCCGCCUCACCGCGUGCACUGGUCCGGCCGGGCCUUUCCCCCUGCGGAACCCCAUGCCCUUCGCUGGGCGUGGCGGGGAGGCAGGACGUUUACUUUGAAAAAAUUAGAGUGCUCCAGGCAGGCCUAUGCUCGGAUACAUUAGCAUGGAAUAAUGGAAUAGGACGCGCGGUUCUAUUUCGUUGGUUUCUAGGACCGCCGUAAUGAUUAAUAGGGACAGUCGGGGGCAUCAGUAUUCAAUUGUCAGAGGUGAAAUUCUUGGAUUUAUUGAAGACUAACUACUGCGAAAGCAUUUGCCAAGGAUGUUUUCAUUAAUCAGGAACGAAAGUUAGGGGAUCGAAGACGAUCAGAUACCGUCGUAGUCUUAACCAUAAACUAUGCCGACUAGGGAUCGGACGAUGUUAUUUCUUGACGCGUUCGGCACCUUGCGAGAAAUCAAA
rnacentral:rRNA from 1 species